GUAGAUAUGUGCAAGGGCUGCAUUUUAUGAAUUUGGUGUGUAUAGUGCAUCAAUAUGAAACCAUAGGUUGAAUUAGAACAGUGACACUGUUGAGAAUUGAAAAAUGAUAAUGAGAUGAGGUAACAACAAGGGAAACAACAAGCUACUAUGGUCCCGGGUGGAGAAGAAAUUACAGAGGCCUUAGUAUUAGGAAACAGCCAAACAUGGUUAGAACAAUCCGAGUAUAUCGAAAUUAUUGGUUAAAAUACUUCAAAUAUUAAUCAAUGUGGAAACUGCAGUAUAUACUAUAUACCAAUAUAGUAUGAUGCAUUUUCUUUACACUAGCCUUAUGGUUCAAGGUGCCAUUUCUGUAGCUUUGUUUCAGUGUAGGUCAAAAUGCAAAUUCAGAUGCACACAUGUCUACAGAGAAAAAAGAAAAGAAAAAAAGCUAAGUAUUUGUACUCUAAACUAAAUAUGCUUAGCAGGUACUCUGAACUUGGAAUUUGCUACUUCAAUGGUUAGAUGAGGUCAACAUAGAAGGAUUGCAGUAGCAUUGUGUCUUGCAUUCUGAACCCCAAUUAGGAGGUCUUAAUUAAACAUGUCCAAACCUUAGUUCCUGAAGUGCUAAUACCAGUAAUGAUGGCCUAAUGCUUUGCUACCACUAUAAUGUUGUACCUACCUUCUCCAUUCAUUUCAGAAAAUUUGUGUGCCAUCUGCCAUAGGCUAUAGCUUAUAAAUCCAAGUACAUAUCGAUCAAACAAAUGCAUGU
rnacentral:lncRNA from 1 species